CGUAGGUGGCAAGCGUUGUCCGGAUUUAUUGGGUUUAAAGGGUGCGUAGGCGGUUCCAUAAGUCAGUGGUGAAAUACGGCAGCUCAACUGUCGAGGUGCCAUUGAUACUGCGGAACUUGAGUACUGAUGAGGUAGGCGGAAUUGACGGUGUGGCGGUGAAAUGCUUAGAUAUCGUCAAGAACACCGAUAGCGAAGGCAGCUUACCAAGCAGUAACUGACGCUGAGGCACGAAAGUGCGGGGAUCAAACAGGAUUAGAUACCCUGGUAGUCCGCACAGUAAACGAUGAUUACUCGAUGUUGGCGAUACACAGCCAGCGUCUUAGCGAAAGCGAUAAGUAAUCCACCUGGGGAGUACGCCCGCAAGGGUG
rnacentral:rRNA from 1 species